CCUACGGGGCGCAGCAGUGGGGAAUAUUGGACAAUGGGCGAAAGCCUGAUCCAGCCAUGCCGCGUGUGUGAAGAAGGCCUUCGGGUUGUAAAGCACUUUCAGUGGGGAAGAAAGCCUUGGGGCUAAUACCCUCGAGGAAGGACAUCACCCACAGAAGAAGCACCGGCUAACUCCGUGCCAGCAGCCGCGGUAAUACGGAGGGUGCGAGCGUUAAUCGGAAUUACUGGGCGUAAAGCGCGCGUAGGCGGUCUGAUAAGCCGGUUGUGAAAGCCCCGGGCUCAACCUGGGAACGGCAUCCGGAACUGUCAGGCUAGAGUGCGGGAGAGGAAGGUAGAAUUCCCGGUGUAGCGGUGAAAUGCGUAGAGAUCGGGAGGAAUACCAGUGGCGAAGGCGGCCUUCUGGACUGACACUGACGCUGAGGUGCGAAAGCGUGGGUAGCAAACAGGAUUAGAUACCCCAGUAGUC
rnacentral:rRNA from 1 species